rnacentral:misc_RNA from 1 species
GGGAUUCUUCCGCCGCUUGGGUGGACCAUCGGGGCCAUCCACCCUGGUCUGGUCCGCCGGGAUGGUCAUCCAUGUAGAAGCGAUCGAGACAAACCGGGA